GUGCCAGCAGCCGCGGUAAUACGGAGGGUGCAAGCGUUAAUCGGAAUUACUGGGCGUAAAGCGUGCGUAGGUGGUUUAUUAAGUUAUCUGUGAAAUCCCUGGGCUCAACCUGGGCAGGUCAGAUAAGACUGGUGGACUGGAGUAUGGGAGAGGGUAGUGGAAUUUCCGGUGUAGCGGUGAAAUGCGUAGAGAUCGGAAGGAACACCAGUGGCGAAGGCGGCUACCUGGCCCAAUACUGACACUGAGGCACGAAAGCGUGGGGAGCAAACAGGAUUAGAUACCCUCGUAGUCC
rnacentral:rRNA from 1 species